rnacentral:misc_RNA from 1 species
CCGAGUUAGGGUCUUUAUGGCCUGACCUCCAACCCCUUGUAUAUACCACCAAUUGUUGCUUCGGUGGGCUGAAAAUGCCUACCGAAGCCCAAAAAAUCUUUAGUAAUGAUAUUGUCUGAGUUUAUAAAAGUAAUAAUUA